rnacentral:rRNA from 1 species
GACGAACGCUGGCGGCAGGCUUAACACAUGCAAGUCGAACGCCCCGCAAGGGGAGUGGCAGACGGGUGAGUAACGCGUGGGAACAUACCCUUUCCUGCGGAAUAGCUCUGGGAAACUGGAAUUAAUACCGCAUACGCCCUACGGGGCAAAGAUUUAUCGGGGAAGGAUUGGCCCGCGUUGGAUUAGCUAGUUGGUGGGGUAAAGGCCUACCAAGGCGACGAUCCAUAGCUGGUCUGAGAGGAUGAUCAGCCACAUUGGGACUGAGACACGGCCCAAACUCCUACGGGAGGCAGCAGUGGGGAAUAUUGGACAAUGGGCGCAAGCCUGAUCCAGCCAUGCCGCGUGAGUGAUGAAGGCCUUAGGGUUGUAAAGCUCUUUCACCGAUGAAGAUAAUGACGGUAGUCGGAGAAGAAGCCCCGGCUAACUUCGUGCCAGCCGCCGCGGUAAUAC